rnacentral:rRNA from 1 species
GGAUGGGAAUAACCUCGGGAAACUGAGAAUAAUGCCCAAUAGAACACUAUACCUGGAAUGGUUUGUGUUCCAAAUGAUUUAUCGCCGUAGGAUGGGACUGCGGCCUAUCAGUUUGUUGGUGAGGUAAUGGCCCACCAAGACUAUUACAGGUACGGGCUCUGAGAGGAGUAGCCCGGAGAUGGGUACUGAGACACGGACCCAGGCCCUAUGGGGCGCAGCAGGCGAGAAAACUUUGCAAUGUGCGAAAGCACGACAAGGUUAAUCCGAGUGAUUUGUGCUAAACGAAUCUUUUGUUAGUCCUAGAAACACUAACGAAUAAGGGGUGGGCAAGUUCUGGUGUCAGCCGCCGCGGUAAAACCAGCACCUCAAGUGGUCAGGAUGAUUAUUGGGCCUAAAGCAUCCGUAGCCGGCUCUGUAAGUUUUCGGUUAAAUCUGUACGCUCAACGUACAGGCUGCCGGGAAUACUGCAGAGCUAGGGAGUGGGAGAGGUAGACGGUACUCGGUAGGAAGGGGUAAAAUCCUUUGAUCUAUUGAUGACCACCUGUGGCGAAGGCGGUCUACCAGAACACGUCCGACGGUGAGGGAUGAAAGCUGGGGGAGCAAACCGGAUUAGAUACCCGGGUAGUCCCAGCUGUAAACUAUGCAAACUCAGUGAUGCAUUGACUUGUGGUCAAUGCAGUGCUGCAGGGAAGCCGUUAAGUUUGCCGCCUGGGAAGUACGUACGCAAGUAUGAAACUUAAA